rnacentral:lncRNA from 1 species
GUAGGUUUAGAUGAAUGGAAAAUGAACUUGCCAGUUCACAGCUAUGUCCUUCCCAAUUUAGGAGGUUAAGGGCAGGAAAAACAUGAGAAACUCUUUUGAGAAGCUGCACAAGCUGACAUGGAGGAUCAAGGAUUUCAAAAGCUUUGAAUAUAAAGAGGUGUCAGACUUACAUCAGAGCCUGAGACUUGACAUGCCUAUUUUUGCACUCGCUCAUUUUUCAAAUUUCAUAGGCAUUGCUCCCUCCAAAUCACCGCUCUUCUAAUUUUAUCCUGGAGUGUGCAUCCCAGAAGACAUAAGCUGACACAAUUGGGAACUGAAGUUGCUUGAAAAAGCUGGUGGUAAGAUUAGGGAUCAGCAUCAUAUAUCACUAUUUCUCAAAGAUUAUCUGGUCUCUUGAUGGCAAAUCUACAAUAUUGAAACCUUUGAAAGAGAAAUUGUGUUUUGUGAGUUACAUGACUACCGUUUGCAUCCAAGGUCUCCUCUGUAGUCAAGAGAAGAAUGCAGAAACUACAUGUCCAAGAAUCUCUUUCCAGACUCUAGACAGCUUAUACGUAUUUGGACAAGGCAACGUGAUGAAGAAAUAAUAUAAUUGUAGGAUCACCUCUGUCCAGUAGCUGUUAUCCAACAUCUGCAUACUUAGAUUUCUGGAGAGAAGCACAAAAUGGACCAAGAUGAUGAAUUUCUGAGACUGCUGACACCAUCAUAGGAGCAACAUGUUUAUUGUGUAAUCUCUUGAGACUUAUCUCAAGUUAGAAAGAAGGAGGAAUAGAUUCUACUGCCCACAGACAAAGAUUCUUUGAACUUUGGAUUUUGAUGGAUCUAAGCACAAUAUUUAAUUCCCUAUGCCUUCACAAGAACAAGUUCCCACACCAGGGUCAAGAAGGAAACCGUAAGUCAAGACAAAAGUGCCCAGUGAAGGCAGAAGAUGAGGGGUCUCAGGUUGCAUCUUCGGAGGCACGAGGAUUCAAAGGUGAACAAAGCACACAGUACAUCAUUUGAUGUGCCAUUUUAUCUGACUGAAAGAUUAUAGAAAUAUGUGCACAACUGGACUGAAUACUUGAUUGUAUAGUUAACUCAUAGUGAUGCCAGCCUCUAAAAUGGCUUACAUGAUGAAAUGAAGAAGUAUCUCUGCUAUAAAGGCUUUGGAGUAAUGUAUUUGUGACCAUAUUUGUUCAUGUUUGUAACAACAUCAGACUAAAAUGGAGAGUUCUGAUCGGCUGCACAAUAACCACUGUGCAAACAUUCAGCACAGUCAUCAAAAUAUCAAAAACAGAAAAAAAAAAA